UCAAAGGAAAAAGUGUCUUCCAUCUAUUCAUUUUUGGCACACACGACAUGGGUCUAGAAACAUCUACACUUCCGACUUCCAUCUCUUCUAUUCCAACCGAUCGGAGGAGUACUCCAGUUCUUCUUCAAACUUUCAAUAAUACUCUUAGCUCUUUUCAUUUUUUUAUCUAUCUGAUAUAUUUCAGGUAUCAUUGUCUCAAUCUUUGCUCACAUCUUCUUUGUUUACUCUUUGUCUUCUUUUCUUUCUUUUCUUCUAUUUAACUGUUCCCAAUUACAUGUAUAAAAUUACCUUGAAUUUUGUGUUUUCCAACCAGACGUUGGGGAAUCACCAUUAUAAAGGUUAUUUUCCGUCCAAGUUCAUUGAUGUUGCCUUCUUCUUGUUGAUUUACCUCUAUCUCCUCCUCCUCCUCCUCCUCUUCUUCUUCUUCUUCUUCUUAAGGUGUUAGACUUUUAUUAUUCUGCUUACUUAAAAAGAAAAUGAAUAUUUAAUUUUGCUCCUAAUGCAUAUUGUUCUUCCUUUUCUUUACUUUUUUUCUUUUUGUAUAUGUUAUAUUUCCAUGUAUUGUUAAUCGCCAGUUUAUUUUCAGGUUCUUGAUAAUUGCCUCUUCACACACUCCUCAUUUUCCAUAGUUGAGGGAAAGAAAAGUAAGAACUCAUGAUAACCCAAUUUUGAUAAAGCACUAAAAUUGAUGAAUGGGUUAGACAUUGACAUAAAGUGGAUGAAUUAAGUCAAAUAGCUAUUGAAAAAAAAAUUGUGCAUGUGAAUUUCUAUUAACAGAUUUUAUUCAUUAUUUCAUGUCUUAGGAAGACUUAAUAUGGUUUAAGAUGAUUUGGGAACUCUUCUUAAAAGUUAUGUUCGAGCAACAUCUUUUUGUUUGAAUUUAAAUUGGUUUAUCUGGCUUGAAAUUUAUGGAAUAGGGAAUGUAUGUUUAAGGGCCUAUAAUGGAUUGCUUUAUAUGUUGACUCAUUGUUGUUGGUGGGAUUUGAAAGUAAAGGAAUGGAGGAGUAGGAAGUAGGACGAUGGAUAUGAAAUGAUGAACAAAUAAGGCAUAUGCUUGGUUUUGAUUUUGUAAGUGUAUUUAAAGGAAGUGGAAGAAAUGGACAUAUUUGCUCGGUUUCAAUAAGUCUAGGGAGGCAAUAAAUAUUGUUCUACGUUUUGUCACUAUUUUUUAAUGUUGGAAUUGUGCUUAUGUGUUUGUGAACUUAUAUCUAUUCUAAACCUUUAUAGUUUUUUAGGGUCGCUGUGGAUGCAAUAUUAGACACGAACAAAACGACUUCAGAAUUCAAAAUGUUGGGCCCUUGGUAGGCAUGGGCAAUACUCAUGUCUUCAAGAAAGUUCCACUUCCUUCCUUCCAUUGAUUUUCUUCAUUCCACACCCAUUUCUUGGCAAAAAUUCUUCCAUGUCUCCUCCCAGCUCUCUCCACCAAAAAACAAUGGAGGCUAAAAGCAUAAAAUUUUUUGAAGUCUGGUUCUCUACUGUUGUCGACGAUGAAUAGAUGGUGGCCAAACAUCAGCUGAAGCACGAUACAGCCACCUUUAUCUGACGUUUUCUAUCCUUAUCUCUCUCAAAUUCUCCGCACAUUUUUUUCGUUCACUGUUCUAUUUUUCUCAGGCAUCCUUUUUGAUUCUGCUUCAAAAUUUUACCCUUUUGUUUUCAGUUUAUCUAAUUGGCUUUAAUUUUGCGGUAUUUCUGAAUUUUGGUAAGUUUUCUCUUCUUUCUUUAGUUGUUAAACUAGCUUCUCUCGUCUCUGUAGUGAAAUUGAGUAGGUAUGUUUUAGUUUUUUACAUUUAUGUUUGAGUGUGUAUUUCAUUUUCACAUGUAUAUUUGGAAAUACAUAUGUAAGUGCAUGUUUGGGUUGCAUAAUUAUAUUUGAUUUUGGGUGAAUUAGAUGGUAUUCAAGGAGUGUAUAGUUCUAUGAAUUAGAUGUUCACAUGUCUGUACAAAUUUUCUCUACAUACAUAUGCAUGUUGCUACAGCGCAGGAAACACUAAGCGUCAUCAAGACAAAAAUAGUACUAGAGUAUAGAAGAACUUUAAUGCAACCAAAAUGUUUGACGGUAUGCCUGAAUAUCUAAGUUCCAGCCCGUCAUCUAUAAAUCCUGAAUUCGAACACAGAAAUAUGAUGAUUUUCUUUUAUUUAUUAACAUUAGUAUGCCAACUGUUGUUUUAUAUGAACCUUCAGUUUAUUGUUGCAUUCCUCUUCAUAACUUUUCAGGCUACAUUUUUGUCUCUGUUAUACAACUAUAGUUUGCCCUCCUUACUUUCUUCAAUUAGAUAAUGCUGCGAGUUACUGAGGAUUUUACUUGAAUUUGGAAUUUUUAAGUUAAAAAUUAAGAUCUUUAUUUAACUUUUGUUGGUCUAACUUCCAUGGCAAUGCUUUGUUGAUCUGACAAAGAUAGUAAUCACCUUUAAUUUGCUCUCUAUGUCCUUCUGAAUACUCAUAUUCAUGACUUUUCUUUUUACACUCUUUUUUUAGUUGGAUAUUGGACUUCACAAAACUCUAUUUUAAAGUGAGUUCCUGUCAAAUGGUUAAUGUUUAGUUCACUUGGUUAUCUUGAUCUUAUCGUAGUUUUAUCCAUCAAAACAGGCCAGUUUAAAAGUUCAAUUGGAUUAAGGAAAGAAGUAAUUCUCAGAGGAAAGAAAUCACUUUUCAUGUUAUGGUAAAAAAUUGCUGGACUUGAUCACCUGAUUUAUCUAAUGCAGCAGAUCCAGGCGCUUCUGGUCACGACGACUACUGAUUGAGGCUUCAGAGUUCAGAAACUAUCGAGUUUUACUGUGAUGAGUUGUUAAGUAGAGGCUGGCCUAGUUUCACGAUAGACGCCAUCACGACGGUUGAUUUUGGGUCGUGACAAAAUCCUUGAGGUACUCUUGCUACCUCAUGAGUUUUUUGUUUCACAACUAUUCUCUAAAGUCCAAGAAAGAUUAUCAAUCAAUGUAGCCUUCAUCGAAUUGAAGACUUUUACCUAGCAAGAGAACUAAUGCAAUGAUUCCAAUGAAGACCGGAAGGCUAAUGAUUAUUGGAAGAUGGAAUUGCAGAAAUAGCUAAAGAGACAGCUACAUGGGUUGCAACUGCUGUAUUUUUUGGUUGACUUAUUCAAGUAUUUUAAUGCUUUGUAUUGGCAAUGUAAGAUUUCAUGAUUCAUGUCAGAGCCUCAAUUGGAGAACCCAAAUGCAGUUGAACGAUAUUCGUGGAAUUCAUAUAGUACAAUUUUGGGUAACUUACACCAUCUGCUUCUGAUUAUGCUAUUUGAAAGCUAGACGAUCGUCAGCUUGAUUGUUCAAAGAGAAGAUGACUACCUCCUCUGCAUGGGAUACACUAAAUAUGUACAGUGUUUUCAUCUGAUGGUCAGUUCAAUGCUUGAAGUUUCACUUUUUGGAAUCAUAUUAAACAUGCUUUAGCUUAACUUCAAUAAUGAAAAGAUACUGGAAAAAUGGCGAGCUGUUAGUAAUAAAUUUCAUAGCUUGCUCAAAUUAUUUCAAUGAAAAGUUUUACCUCCGAGUUGAUUAUAAUGCGGCUAUAAAUCUAUUCCCUGGCCAAAGAUGUGUGUUGUUAAUAAUGAGUAGAGAAUGUAUGUCCAAUUGCUGCAA